GUGUUUUGCCUAUAAAACUGUUUCUGUGUUCUGCAUGUUUAUGUAGAAUUAUCGUUUGCUCUUCUUAUGUAAAAUAUGCGGCUCUGGAAGAUGUUUGUGAUUGGUCAUGCUUUGCAAUCUCCGCCCCUUUUAUGUGAACGUGUGAGAGUCUGGAUUGGGAAACCCUGGGUUGGUGGAACUAGUUGAUAACCCCCGUCUUGACACAGCUUAUGCAGGACAGCGGUGGUUAGGUUAAGUGAAGCCGGGGAACUGAAAGAAAUCCAGGGCAGGUUGAUCUGGAUUCGUAGAACAGGACUCUGGGCUCCAUUUCAGAGAGCAGGUUUAGUGAAAAUUCUGAGUUAGUUAACCCUGAGAUAAGGGAAACUCUGAGUUAGUUAACCCUG